rnacentral:tRNA from 1 species
GGGCCAUAGCUCAGCGGUAGAGCAUCUGCUUUGCGUGCAGGAGGCCCCAGGUUCAAUCCCCAGCAUCUCCA